GAUGAACGCUGGCGGCGUGCUUAACACAUGCAAGUCGAGCGAAAAGACGCGGCGCUUGCUCCUCUGACGUUAGCGGCGGACGGGAGAGUAACACGUGGAUCACCUACCUAUAAGACGGGGAUAACUACGGGAAACCGGAGCUAAUACCAUAGAAUAUAUUGAACCGCGGGGUUGAAUAGUGAAAUACGGUUGUGCUGUCUCUUAUAGAUGGAUCCGCGCCGCAUGAGCUAGUUGGUAAGGUAACGGCUUACCAAGGCAACGAUGCGUAGCCGACCGGAGAGGGUGAUCGCCCACACUGGAACUGAGACACGGUCCAGACUCCUACGGGAGGCAGCAGUAGGGAAUCUUCGGCAAAGGGCGAAAGCCUGACGGAGCAACGCCGCGUGAGAGAUGAAGGCCUUCGGAUCGUAAAACUCUGUUAUGAGGGAAGAACCGAUUUGUAAGUAGAUAUGCAGGUAUUGACGGUACCUAAUCAGAAAGCCACGGCUAACUACGUG
rnacentral:rRNA from 1 species